GGCUUGUUGAUUAUAAUUUCAGGUCUGACCUGCCCAAUGAGCGAUUAAAUGGCCGCGGUAUAUUGACCGUGCAAAGGUAGCAUAAUCAUUAGUUUUUUAAUUGAAAGCUUGUAUGAAAGGUUUAAUGAAAAAAUUUCUGUCUCUUGAAAAAUUUAUUAGAAUUUUAUUUUUAAGUUAAAAAGCUUAAAUUUUUAUAGAAGACGAGAAGACCCUGUAGAGUUUUAUAAUUAUUAAAAAAAGCUUAAUUUUAAGUAUGAAAAUUAGUUUUUUUAAAGAUUAUUUUGUUGGGGUGAUAGGAAAAUUGAUAGAACUUUUCUUAUAUUAGAACAUUAAUUUGUGAAUAAAUGAUCCUAAGAUUAAGAUUAAAAGAUUAAAUUACCUUAGGGAUAACAGCGUAAUUUUCUUUAGAGUUCUUAUUAAAUAGAAAGAUUGCGACCUCGAUGUUGGAUUAAAAUUAAUUAUUGGUGUAGAAGCUAAAAGAUUAGGUCUGUUCGACCUUUAAAAUUUUACAUGAUCUGAGUUUAGACCGGCGUGAG
rnacentral:rRNA from 1 species